CCUGUACAGUGUUGACACAGGACGCAGCCGUGAGAACCACGUGGCUGGCCGUUAUGCAGAUGAGCGCGCAUCUUUAACAAGAAGAAUGUCCAUGAUGGGUUCAGAAAGGAUUGCUAGAUAGAAAGGUCGAAAAGUCCUGGUCAUGGUGUCUGCAGCUGUGUAUUUCUGAAGGCUCUCAGAGGAAACCGGAGGGACAUGACACACUGGUUGUAGGGAAUGAGUUGUGGGAGGAAAGUGAAAAAGGGAAGAUGAGCAGCAGAAAGAUGGUGCACUGGGUACAACGGAUGGAGCCACUGCCCUCUUUCUAGCCACUCAAGGAGGUUACUUGGAUGUCAUCCGAUUAUUGUUGUCUUCAGGAGCAAAAGUCAACCAACCAAAGCAGGUAAUGUGCUUCGAUGAACUCUGAUCAAAUAGGGGGUAUGAGGCAGGUAGGGCUGGGUGGCUCCUAGCAGCACAUACCUGAGAUAACCAGCAGCUCCAGGCCUCCUCAAACCCUUUUGCCUCCGCCAUGAAAAGCUAAUCUUUGAAAGGU
ensembl:lncRNA